UAAGGAAUAUUGGUCAAUGGACGCAAGUCUGAACCAGCCAUGCCGCGUGGAGGAUUAAGGCCCUCUGGGUUGUAAACUCCUUUUAUCUGGGAAGAAAUGUACUUUUUCUUGAGUACUUGACGGUACCAGAGGAAUAAGCACCGGCUAACUCCGUGCCAGCAGCCGCGGUAAUACGGAGGGUGCAAGCGUUAUCCGGAUUCACUGGGUUUAAAGGGUGCGUAGGUGGGCAGGUAAGUCAGUGGUGAAAUCUCCGGGCUUAACCCGGAAACUGCCGUUGAUACUAUUUGUCUUGAAUAUUGUGGAGGUCAGCGGAAUAUGUCAUGUAGCGGUGAAAUGCUGAGAUAUGACAUAGAACACCAAUUGCGAAGGCAGCUUACUACACAAUCAUUGACGCUGAGGCACGAAAGCGUGGGG
rnacentral:rRNA from 1 species